GGAAUUUAAGGCCAUAUGUCCCCAUUUACUUACCAUCUUGCCUAUAAACUAGAGUGUCUUUGUGUAUUCUGUCAUUGGCUUCAACUGCCAGCCAUGGUAAGAUACAGCAUGGUAUUCCAAGCAGUACCCUGUGUGACCAUGCGCGUGGGGGAAUUGCAAUCGUCCACAGUGGGGGGCCCGGCAUAUGCUUCAGCGUAUGUUGAAGUUUAUGCGCAUGUGCCUGUACAUAUGUAGGCGCGCGCACUUACACAAACGCACUUACACUAUUACACACGCUUAAAACGCUUCUUUUUUAGAUAUGUACAAUGCCCAAGGCAUGGUGAAGGAGAUAUAAAACAAAUAAUUCUCCAGGUUGAAUGAGCAUAAAUAUGGAGAAACCGUAAGGUGUUGCUAAGGCAUGCCCCCUACAGGAUGUCUCGAUCAGUGAAGUAAGGCAAGGGACCCCCCAGCUGGACAAGUGAUUUAACAGAAGCUCGUCCGUCUAGCUGCUACCCGUGGCUGUGGUCUGGCCAGAUGAGGCCCGUCGGCUGGUCCAAGGGCCCGGGGCUGGGCCUGCUGGCUGGGCCUGCUGGCUGAUGAACUAAACAUGAGGAGGAGGAAUGUUACUGCGGACAUGUGGACGUCCAAGAGUACUCCUUUCCAAAGUUGACGGGCAAGUGGAGAGAAGUCAUGUAAAAUAUAAGAGAAGUCACGUAAAAUAUAACAAAAACCCAGUAACCACGCACGUCCCCACCCUGCUUGGGGUGCGGGUGCAUGUCUGAGCAGCUGGAGCUUCGCGGAGUUCUCCACGGCAACGGGGGACGAGCGCUGAGCCCACAGAGAGGUUCGCCGCAUUUUUCGCCGUUGAGGAAACGGCCGUCUCUGACAGCGACGGCUUUGUGUUUGGACACGAGGAGGCCAGAUGUCCUGUUCUGUGCAGGCCUGGAAUCCAUCACAAG